CCACAUCACCACGGAGACCACCACAGUUCAGGCCAUCAGCAUCACCAUGGAGACCAUCACAGUUCAGGCCAUCAGCAUCACCAUGGAGAUUACUUUGGCACAAGUAAUAACCCAGGACCUCCCACUGAAUCACUUCUCAACCAGCCCCACUCCACAAACAAUGAUCUUGACCACGAUGAACACAACACUCAUGUAAAGGGGCAUGCUACUGGCAGCCCCCCUUCACACGCAGCUGGAGUCUCUCUCUAGCAAGGCAGGAUUUACUCAGGAACACUAGCCCCUCGAGUCAGGACGAGGAACAGACGAGCUUCACUGGCUCAUCAUUACAUAAAGAAAAGGCACAUGGACUUGGUAAAAUCAUGAUGCUACAGGAGCAGAAUGAAGGUCUGCAUCAAAGUUUGCUGAAGACAGCAGUGAGGAUGGAGUGUUUAGGAGAGGAAUUCAUGAGCAGCCAAAAGCUUUUGGAGGCAGAACUUCAGAGGAC
rnacentral:lncRNA from 1 species